rnacentral:lncRNA from 1 species
AUGAGCAUGAAGCUGCAGGCCCUUGGGUGGGGCUUCCGGGAAAGCUCUUUUAAAGGGGGUCAACUCACUAAAGGCCUCUCUCUCUUCUUUGCCCUCCUUCCUGUCUGGGACACAAAGGUGAUGGCGGGAGCUCUAGCAGCUAUCUUGGAUCAUGAGAUGAGACAACUUGGAGGAUGGAAGCCAUGGUUGAGGAAGAGAAAGAGCAAGCGAAGUCACUUACCUUCUCUGGACUUUUCUUUCCUCAUUCACCAGAUUGAAGAGUUGAACCCAAUGACCUGGAUGUUCUUGGUGAUGGAAGUUCACUCCUGCACACACCAGCUUGGCAUCUUCUUUACAAUAGAAGCCCAACCGGGGAGGCUGCACACGUUAGAAUCCAAUCUGUACUGACAGGUAAGUUUUGAGGCAGAUUGAGAAAGCUCUUAAAAUUGUCAUCAGAAAAUCUCAGUAGAGGGAGUACAGGGGAAGGAGGCAGCUGCAGCUGGGCCCCACAUCGAGCUCCACGCACCUCCACCCACCUGCCAAUUUUCCCCUCUCAGAGUAAAGAGCCUCUCCCCGCCAGGUAUUUGGCUGCUUGGAAUUUACUGAUUAAUUACGCGCCUACCUCCAAUUGGUCUCCUUAGUAACCACGUUAGCAGGGUCCCACUUGAAAAGCUGCUUCUUACUCAAUGAGGGCAAACUCUCUUCACAGUUUAAAACACUUUUAAGUCAGAGCACAGUGGAUGUUAAAGAUAGAAGGACACACACAUUUCUUCACAACUUCGCAUCAAAAUACAGAAAGACUUUUGAACUAUUGAGGGCAAGCGACAUUUUAGUAAUCAGUAAGAGCUAGGUUUAAAGGAAGAGUUGGGUGAAUACAGUUUCAUUCGAAUGGCCAAUGAUUGCCUUUGCAAGUAUAGGUUUUACUACCAGAGUGUCCAGCCUAGUGCUGGGUGAGGGGAUGUCAGAAUGAAAGCUAUCCUGGCUGGGUGUGGUGGCUCAUACGUGUAAUCCCAGCACUUUGGGAGGCCGAGUUGGGUGGAUCUCCAGAGGUCAGGAGUUCCAGACCAGCCUGAUCAACAUAGUGAAACCUGUCUCUAAAAAUAUAAAAAAAUUAGCUGGGUGUGGUGGCGGAUGCCUGUAAUCCCAGUUACUCAGGAGGAUGAGGCAGGAGAAUCAUUUGAACCUGGGAGGCAGAGGUUGCAGUGAGCUGAGAUCGUGCCAUUGCACUUCAGCCGGGGCAACAAGAGUGAGACUCCAUCUAAAAAAAAAAAAGAUCCUUACCCUCAAGAAGUUGGCCCAGGGGACAAGUUAGAUCAAUGCAUGGUGACCAACACAUCAUUUGCUAUAGUGACUCAGACCAUUCGAGAAUGAGGGAGUGCAUGAUGAGGUGCUGAUUGUGGAUCAGACUGGAAGAGAAAGAGAAGUUCAAGUGAGGAGAAUGAAAUUCAAGAGGGCAGAAUGAUGUUCAAGUGAUGUUUACCUUAUGUUUUGAAUGAUGUGUUAAGAUGUCGAGGACAAAUGGCAAGUUCUGAGUGGGCAGGAAGGUGGUCGCUGGGCUUCAGCACAGGUGACUAGCAGGAUUAGGGGGUGUGUUAGUCUGCUGGGGCUGUCAGAAGCAAGUGCCACUGACUGGGUGGCUUCAGCAAUGGGAAUGCAUUUUCUCACAGUUCUCGAGGCUGGAAUCUGAGAUCAAGUGUCGGCAAGGUUGAUUUCUCCUGCAGCCUCGCUCCUGGCCUUGGAGGUGGCCGUAUUCUCCCUGUGUCCUCACGUGGCCAUCUCUGUGUGCAUCUGUCCCUUCAUCUCCUCUUAAGAGCACCAGGCCUAUGGGAUUAGGGCCACCCUAGUGACUUCAUUUACCCUAAAUCACCUCUUUAAAGCCCCUACCUCCAAAUACGGUCACGCUCUGAGGGGCUGGGGUUAAGACUUCAGUGGAGGAAUUUGGGGGAGGGGUGUACAGUUCACCCCAUAACAGGGGGAUAAUGAAACUGUGCUCAUCACAUAAUGGGGAUAGAAUUUCAGGAAGGAAACUAAAGUUCACUGCGGGACAUGGGUGAAUAAUGUGUAUGGGGCAUCCCUUUCACCCUCAGCCCCAAACCCAGGAGUUGGGAUCCCGGACACUAAGCUGACAAUGUGCCCCAGCGUUGCCAUGUCACAAUGUCCUGGGAACACCCCAUGCAGGUCCCAUGCCUACAUCUUAAGAGCCGCAUCAACGGCUAGAGAAGCUGUUUCCUGAACCUUGAAUGUUAAGAUCAAAGAAACUUAAAAAGAGCCAUGCUCAGAAUAAGAAGGCAUCCAGGCGUCCAGGUCUCCAGGUGUCCCAGCACCCAGGCACUUCAGAAGCCUGAUCACGGUCCCUGAAAAGCUUUGUAGGAUGGUGCAGUUGGUUUGAAUGCCAUGGAGGGGUCCGACACCCUUCUCUUUCAUUUUUCAGAGAUAGAUACAUGUUCCACGUUGGAGAGCCAACCCCACUUCAGCUUGUCCCUCUGUUAAAUUAGUCACGCGUUUCGUAGGUUGGCUCAUUUGCUCUCAUAACCCCACUCUUUGUGGGGGCCUCUUGGGGCUCCACCCCACACCUCCCUUUGGUCUUGGGUACCAUAAUUCCAGUGCCUUCGAGAUGUUCUCACUCAGAUCUCACCGUGAUGCUGACGAGGAUGUUGUGAUAUCCCGGUUAGCACAAACCCCCAUCUGCACAUUCUCCCAGCCUCUCUAUUUUGUAAGCUGAGCCAUCUUUCUUCUUGCUCUUUCUCUCAUCCUUUGUAUUCAGGUAUUCCCAAAUGUAAUCAAUUCCUCUCUAUCACACUUUGUUCGAGUUCCUAGCGUGCGCAUGCUCUCUCCCUGCUCUCUUUCUCUGUCUUCAAUCUAUCCUAUACACAGCAGCCUCCUAAUAAUUUUUAAAUGGUAUUUUCCUUUUGCUUCAAUACCUUGCUCCAGAAUUCUAGUUUAAAGGCAAAGAAUGAUAGAAGCAGAAAGUAGUGAACCUGAACUCCAAAGACCAGUGGUUGAGUCCUGGCUUAGUCCCCACCUUGUCAUGUGACUUUAGCCGAACCACUCCUGCUACCAGGGCGGGAGGAUCACUUGAGGCCAGAAGUUUGAAAUCAGCCUGGACAACAUAGUGAGACCCCAUCUCUAUGAAAACAGAAAAAUAAUAGGCAUAAUAAUAGCUAACAGUGGUGGUGUGAGAAUUCAUUCAGUUAAUGUAAAUGAAGGAGCUUUGAAAACUAUAAAAUAGACAGAUACAAAAUAUAAUGAUUAUUCCUCAAGGCCAUCUCAAGUACAACCAACCCUUAUGCCUAAUUAAAAGUUAGUCUUUUCCUUUUUUAAGCUUACAGCAUUUUUCUGGUGAUAUGUCUGGACAGUGGUUAUUUCCAGGUCUGCAGUCUGCACUGCAGAAUGCACCUCGUGCUGUUCUCUGCUGGUACUCCACCCUGCCUGUCCAGAAAAACGGAGCUGCUGGAGGGAAGAAACUUACAUUCUUUCUUGUUUCUAUGCAACUGAGCACAGUGCCAGGCACACUAAAGUCUAUCAAUUUCACAUGCAUGCAUUGGGCACCUGAUUCUUGUUGAUAUACAGAAGGCAUGUAUUAGUGGGGAGGGGAUUCAAUAUCGUAUGAUAAAAAUUCCUGCAUUCACAGAGCUCACAGUUGGGCUUGGAAGAUGUGCUGCAAGGACUGAAAAAGGUACAGAUGGCAUUUCUACUGUUAGCAAAAGAUACCUGGGUGUUUAGGGGAAAUGCAUCUCCUCCAGCUGGAAUGCUGAAAAAGGUUUGGCCAACGGGGAUGGUUUGAGCAGGAUCUUGAAGGACUAGCGACAUUGGAUAGGCAGAGAUGGGGAAAGGUGUGAAAGUCAGCAGGCCAGGUGAACUGGCCUGGAGGAGGCUUUGCAGAAGGGAGCCGCAGCAGCAGUGGCUGGAAAUGCAGGCGGGAUGAGACCGCAGAAGGCCUUGAACAGCGGCCUUAAUGGCUUACACUUCACCCAAUGGGGAUUAGUAGGGCAAUGGGAAGACAUUGAAUGCUUCUGUGCAGGGGAGUGAUGCUAGGCAGUGUUUUCGGAGCGGUCAGCUAGGGUGGAUACUAAAUACUUAUGGACUGGGACGAGCAGGAGCGCUUCUGUAGGUGUUCAUCUGUCUUUAUGUGGCUGGUUCUAUAUGGAUGACUGCAGCCUCAAAAGCCAGCUAGAAAUAGACAUACAAAUGGUCCAGCAACUGCACUGAAAGCUUUCUAUUUUUUCAGCAAAUAGUGUCACAUGAAAAUCUCCUAAUUCCUGGAUGUUUCCUGUUUCUAGAUCAGGAGAUCUCAUAUCUCAAACCUCUCCUCACUGCCACCAUUAGAGGCGUGACAGCCUGCCACGUUCUGAACCCGAGCUUAAACCUGAGCGUCCCUUCUUCCUGCCUCUGCCCUGCUCCUCAUCACAGUGUUGUGUAAGGCUGGUGGAAUGCCAUUUGGCAAACUUGUGUUGUUGUUGAUGCAAGAUGACUAGCUUCCCAAAGCUCUUUUGUGGUUCUGGAAGAGGAAGAUAGGAGAUAGAUUUUUUUUUUUUUUUGGUGAAAGAAAAUAGUUUUAGUCCUUUGCAAAGUAAAAUAAUGGAUGUCUAAGAUUUCUAAGUUCAGGUUUUCCAUAUCAAUUAAAUGACAUUGCCAGAGCACCUUGUUGUAACUUUCUCCCUCCCCCAGGGAUUCCCCCUCCCUAUGGCUUUCCCCUACCCUGCCUAGGCCUCUGGUGGCUACAUAGAGACACACACACACACACACACACACACACACACACACACACACACACACGCACACACACGCGCACACACACGCACACAGCUAGUAGUUUCGGCUUCUCCCUCCCUUAUCGCUUCCUCCUCCCCCAUAGCUUCUCCCUUUCCCAUGGCUUCCCCCUCCACCCAUGGUUUCAAC